rnacentral:tRNA from 1 species
GCCGAAGUGGUGGAAUUGGCAGACGCGAUGGAUUCAAAAUCCAUUAUCCUCACGGAUGUGUGGGUUCGAGUCCCACCUUCGGCACCA